rnacentral:rRNA from 1 species
GAUUAACGUUGGCGGCGCGCCUAACACAUGCAAGUCGAAUGUAUUUAUUUACAUGGCGGACGGCUGAGUACCACGUUGGUACCUGCCCCGAACUUGGGGAUAGUCUUUGGAAACGAAGUUUAAUACCCAAUAGUUCUCUUCGGAGUAAAGAUUUUUCGGUUCGGGAGGGGCCUGCGUCUGAUUAGCUAGUUGGUGAGGUAACGGCUCACCAAGGCAAUGAUCAGUAGGUGGUCUGAGAGGAUGAUCACCCAGACUGGGACUGAGACACGGCCCAGACUCCUACGGGAGGCAGCAGUGAGGAAUCUUGCACAAUGGGGGAAACCCUGAUGCAGCGACGCCGCGUGGAGGAAGACGGCCUUCGGGUUGUAAACUCCUUUUAGGUGGGACGAACAUUGACGGUACCACCUGAAUAAGGACUGGCUAACCAUGUGCCAGCAGCCGCAGUAAAAC